GAAGGCUGGACUAGAAGACCUUCCAGGGCCCUUCCAGCCUCCUCUCUCCUGAUGGAUUCGUUGUAAAAUGGGGAUUGUCCGAUGACUGCCCCCGGUUCGCCACCGUUACAGUCUAGUGUACGAUUUGAGCGGAAGAGGCUCCGUCGCACGUCGAGGACGACGACGUGGCGGCGUGGAUCCACUGGAAGAAACCCACCCAGAGGGCCGAGGGGGAGGGGGAAGGGCUGGGAAGUCCUCCCCCCUCCCGUUCCCCAAGGCUCACCUGUCUCUCGAUUUUUCUCCCAGGUACGUCUCGCCUGACCAAGCCAAAAGCCAGGCCGCUCCAAGUGCCCAGGCCUCCCCUGCAGAAGCCAAGAUGGCCGCCAAGACCCCCCAGGUCUUGGAGAAAGCCCCGGCACCGCCCGCCCAGCCGGUCAAGAAGGCCAGCACCGACCUCCUGGCGGACAUAGGGGGGGACCCCUUUGCGGCCCCACCCGCCAGGCCUGCUUUCUCUGCCUUUGGAGGCCCAGUAGCGGCUCACCCGGCCUUCUCCAGCUUCGAUGCCUUUGGGGCCGGCCCGGCA
rnacentral:lncRNA from 1 species